CAGAGACGGCUCACGCAUGCGCCCUGGGCGAGGAUCGGAGCCUGACUGCUCCUCCCAAGGGACACCUGGAGAAGCCUUGGAGCAGUUUUCGGCACCAUGCUCGCUCCGGCGCCUGGACGCCCUGGUGUUGGCGCUUCCAGAGGACGGGUCGGUUCCCUGUCCCACUCGCUCUCCCGGACUGUCCCUUCCAUUUGAAUGUGUUCGGUGAAGACAGCUUGUCUCCCCUGCUCUGAGCCCCUGGUCUCCUUCCUUUUUGGGCCUAACACCGCUGACACGAAGGAAGAGGAGCUGACGGAGAAGGAGAGAGGAAGGAGGAGGCUAGCCUGGACCGUGUGGACCUGAAAAAUUUGCCGUGGGUGAAACAGAAGAAAGAUUUUCUCUCACAUGAAGAACUCUGGAGGUAGACUGCCUGAGUGCUGGUUUGGUGGUGUCUUGGCAUCACAAAGUACCCAAUGUCUUCUCUUUCUACUCCAACUAAGUGCUAGGAAUUUAGCACUGGUUUCCUUCUUCAACCUGCAUCAUGAUCCAAGAUUCCUGCUCCAAGUACAAAGAUCCAUGGCCUGUGGUAUAAGAAAAACAUACAGGGGCGCCUGGGUGGCUCAGUCGGUUGAGCGUCCGACUUUGGCUCAGGUCAUGAUCUCACAGUACGUGGGUUUGAGCCCCGCGUCAGGCUCUGUGCUGACAGCUCAGA